rnacentral:tRNA from 1 species
UAGGAAAUAAUAUAAAGGAAGUAUGGAGGGUUUUGAUUCCUCCUGUGCAGGUUCGACCCCUGCUUUUCUAA